AUGUGCCAGAGGAUGGGGCUGCGGCCGAUCAGGCCGUUGGCGAGGUAACGGCUCACCAAACCUUUGACCGGUACGGGCCAUGAGAGUGGUAGCCCGGAGAUGGACACUGAGAUAGGGGUCCAGGCCCUACGGGCGCAGCAGGCGCGAAAACUCCACACUGUACGUAAGUACGAUGGGGUUACCUCGAGUGUAGUCUGUAAAAGAUUGCUUUUCCAUUGAGUAAUAUCCUGUGGGAAUAAGAGGGGGGCAAGACUGGUGUCAGCCGCCGCGGUAACACCAGCCCCUCGAGUGGUAGGGACUUUUAUUUGGCCUAAAGCGUUCGUAGCCGUCUGUAACCGUUGCCCGUUAAAUCCAGCGUCUCAAGCGUUGGACUGCGGGCGAUACCUUACAGAUUGAGGGUGGGAUAGGUAAGCGGUAUUUCUGGGGUAGGGGCGAAAUCCUUUGAUCCCAGGAGGACCACCAGUGGCGAAGGCUGCUUACUAGAACACGCCUGACGGUCAGGAACGAAAGCUGGGGUAGCGAACCGGAUUAGAUACCCGGGUAGUCCCAGCUGUAAACGAUGCGCGCUAGGUGUUGGGUCGGCCAUGCGCCGCCCCAGUGCCGCAGGGAAGCCGUUAAGCGCGCCGCCUGGGGAGUACGGCCGCAAGGCUGAAACUUAAAGGAAUUGGCGGGGGAGCAC
rnacentral:rRNA from 1 species